rnacentral:rRNA from 1 species
GACGAACGCUGGCGGCGUGCUUAACACAUGCAAGUCGAACGGACAGGCCCUGCUUUUGUGGGGUGCUCGAGUGGCGCACGGGUGAGUAAAACGCGUGUAACACGCCCCUGUCUUAGGGAUAACUUCAGGGAAAUCGGGCUCUUAUCGGAUAGGAGCUCCUGCACCACGGGGGGGGUUGGAGAGUUUCGGCGGUUGGGGCUGGACUCGCGGCUUAUCCGCUUGUUGGUGUGGUAGUGGCUGACAAAGGCUUUGACGGGUAGGCGGCCUGGGAGGGUGAACGGCCACAAGGGUACUGAGAUACGGCCCAGACGCCAACGGGAGGCAGUGGGGGGGAGUAUUGCGCAACGGGCGGACGCCUGAUACAGCAGCGCCGCGUGCGGGAUGACGGCCUACGGGUGGUAAACCGCUUUCGCCGGUGACGAAGCGUGAGUGACGGUAAUGGGUAAAGAAGCACCGGCUAACUACGUG